UAGGAAUCUUCCACAAUGGACGCAAGUCUGAUGGAGCAACGCCGCGUGAGUGAAGAAGGUUUUCGGACCGUAAAGCUCUGUUGUUGGUGAAGAAGGAUAGAGGUAGUAACUGGCCUUUAUUUGACGGUAAUCAACCAGAAAGUCACGGCUAACUACGUGCCAGCAGCCGCGGUAAUACGUAGGUGGCAAGCGUUGUCCGGAUUUAUUGGGCGUAAAGCGAGCGCAGGCGGAAGAAUAAGUCUGAUGUGAAAGCCCUCGGCUUAACCGAGGAAUUGCAUCGGAAACUGUUUUCUUGAGUGCAGAAGAGGAGAGUAGAACUCCAUGUGUAGCGGUGGAAUGCGUAGAUAUAUGGAAGAAUACCAGUGGCGAAGGCGGCUCUCUGGUCUGCAACUGACGCUGAGGCUCGAAAGCAUGGGUAGCGAACAGGAUUAGAUACCCUGGUAGUCCAUG
rnacentral:rRNA from 1 species